UUUUAUAAGUAUUUAUUUAUAAUAAAAUCUGCUCAAUGAAAUUUAAAUAGCCGCAUAAUUUGUGCUAAGGUAGCAUAAUAACUUGUUUUUUAAAUGAAAACUAGAACAAAAGAUUUAACAUUUUAAUUAAUUUCUUCAAUUUUUCUUUAAAAUUAUUCUAAAUGUAAAAAAACAUUUAUUAAAUAGAAAGACGACAAGACCCUAUUGAACUUUACUAUAGUUAAAUUGGGGCAAUUAAUUAUUUAUUAUUAUUAUUAUUUAAAUUACAAAAGAUCCUAUAUAAUAGAUCAAUUAAUCAAGUUACCAUAGGGAUAACAGCAUAAUAUAUUUCUAUAGUUCAUAUAUAAUAAAUAAUUUAUGACCUCGAUGUUGAAUAAUUAUCUAGUUUAAAGUAAAAAUUAACUAAGAAAGUCUGUUCGACUUUUAAAAAAUUACA
rnacentral:rRNA from 1 species